rnacentral:rRNA from 1 species
GUGCCAGCCGCCGCGGCGGUAAUACGUAGGUGGCAAGCGUUAUCCGGAUUUAUUGGGCGUAAAGCGAGCGCAGGCGGUUUUUUAAGUCUGAUGUGAAAGCCCUCGGCUUAACCGAGGAAGUGCAUCGGAAACUGGGAAACUUGAGUGCAGAAGAGGACAGUGGAACUCCAUGUGUAGCGGUGAAAUGCGUAGAUAUAUGGAAGAACACCAGUGGCGAAGGCGGCUGUCUGGUCUGUAACUGACGCUGAGCUCGAAAGCAUGGGUAGCGAACAGGAUUAGAUACCCUGGUAGUCCAUGCCGUAAACGAUGAAUGCUAGGUGUUGGAGGGUUUCCGCCCUUCAGUGCCCGCAGCUAACGCAUUAAGCAUU